rnacentral:rRNA from 1 species
UACGUAGGUGGCGAACGUUAUCCGGAAUUACUGGGCGUAAAGGGUCCGCAGGCGGAUCGCCAAGUCUGGUGUGAAAGCUCCCGGCUCAACUGGGAGAGGGCAUUGGAAACUGGUGGUCUUGGAUCUCACAGAGGUCGGUGGAAUUCCCGGUGUAGUGGUGGAAUGCGUAGAGAUCGGGAGGAACCUCGAAAGCGAAGGCAACCGGCUGGGUGAAGAUUGACGCUGAGGGACGAAAGCGUGGGGAGCGAACAGG